rnacentral:tRNA from 1 species
UAGCUCAAUUGGUAGAGUGCUUGCCUCACACACAGAAGGCCCUGGGUUCAAUUCCCAG